GAGCCCUUCAAAACACAUGACCUUCCUGCUCACAACAUAAAGACCAGUUCCCUUUGGCCUCUACAGUUUGGCUCAGCACCAGGGAACCUGUGUCCUCUCUGAGACCAAGGCACCACACCAGUGACAGGUUUCCUGAGGUGAAUGAAGUCAGAAGUGGCAUUCAGGAAGCUGUGAAUAUCUCCAGAUUAUCCAGGUGUUCUCACUGCAGCUGGAACAGAAUGGAAAUGAUGACAGAAGAAAGAUACCAGUCCAUUUCUCUCCCCCUGCCACCCCAACUCAAAUUCUGGGCCACAUCCUCCAGGAAGAUCUCUGUCCCGUGGAAGCCCCUGGCCUGGCCUCCCGCAGUGCCACGCUCCGUGUAUUUGACAAGCUGAGUUGGACACUCCGUGUGGUAGAGUGUCAGUUUGUCAAAUACCCCAAGUGUGGCACAUGCUUAGCAGCUCCACACCAGGGCAGAUGGAAUACAACAUAUUUGCUGCCAAGUGGAUGUAAGAAUGCUCAUUAAACAACAAGGUCUCCUAAUUUAUUUUUUUGUAACUUUGAGGGAACCCAAGCAAUGCAUCUGAGGGUUUCAGGGGGAAAGUGCAGCAUCUCUGGUAAUUACAGCCCUGGUCUUCGUCUACACACAUCAUGAGAAUGCCUAGGAGCACACAAUAGUCUUGAAAAGACAUAAGGGAUACAGGGAUAGACGUGCUCUUUGAUUUGUUAUUCUCUUCUUUCUUCACAUUCCCCUUCCAGAGUGUCACAGUCAGGACACCAG
rnacentral:lncRNA from 1 species